rnacentral:rRNA from 1 species
UACAGAGGGUGCGAGCGUUAAUCGGAAUUACUGGGCGUAAAGCGUGCGUAGACGGUUUCGUAAGUCGGGUGUGAAAUCCCCGGGCUCAACCUGGGAAUUGCAUUCGAAACUGCGAGGCUAGGGUACGGAAGAGGGAAGCGGAAUUUCUGGUGUAGCGGUGAAAUGCGUAGAGAUCAUGAGGAAGACCAGUGGCGAAGGCGGGUCUCUGGACAGUUCCUGACACUGAGGCACGAAGGCUAGGGGAGCGAACGGG